AGAGUUUGAUCCUGGCUCAGGACGAACGCUGGCGGCGUGCCUAACACAUGCAAGUCGAACGGAGCUUAGAGAGCUUGCUUUUUAAGCUUAGUGGCGAACGGGUGAGUAACGCGUGAGUAACCUGCCCUAGAGUGGGGGACAACAGUUGGAAACGACUGCUAAUACCGCAUAAGCCCACGGUGCCGCAUGGCACAGAGGGAAAAGGAGCAAUCCGCUUUGAGAUGGCCUCGCGUCCGAUUAGCUAGUUGGUGAGGUAAUGGCCCACCAAGGCGACGAUCGGUAGCCGGACUGAGAGGUUGAACGGCCACAUUGGGACUGAGACACGGCCCAGACUCCUACGGGAGGCAGCAGUGGGGGAUAUUGCGCAAUGGGGGCAACCCUGACGCAGCAACGCCGCGUGAAGGAUGAAGGUUUUCGGAUUGUAAACUUCUUUUAUUAAGGACGAAACUUGACGGUACUUAAUGAAUAAGCUCCGGCUAACUACGUGCCAGCAGCCGCGGUAAUACGUAGGGAGCAAGCGUUGUCCGGAUUUACUGGGUGUAAAGGGUGCGUAGGCGGAUUGGCAAGUCAGAAGUGAAAUCCAUGGGCUUAACCCAUGAACUGCUUUUGAAACUGUUAGUCUUGAGUGAAGUAGAGGUAGGCGGAAUUCCCGGUGUAGCGGUGAAAUGCGUAGAGAUCGGGAGGAACACCAGUGGCGAAGGCGGCCUACUGGGCUUUAACUGACGCUGAGGCACGAAAGUGUGGGUAGCAAACAGGAUUAGAUACCCUGGUAGUCCACACUGUAAAC
rnacentral:rRNA from 1 species